rnacentral:rRNA from 1 species
AGAGUUUGAUCCUGGCUCAGAACGAACGCUGGCGGCGUGCUUAACACAUGCAAGUCCAACGUGAAAGGGGNGCAAUCCCCCGGUAGGGUGGCAAACGGGUGAGUAAUACAUGGGUGAUCUACCUUAAAGAUGGGGAUAUCCUUCCGAAAGGAGGGGCAAUACCGAAUAUUGUCCGGGACCGUGAAGGGUUUCGGGGAAAGGGAGGCCUCUGACACAAGCUUUCGCCUUAAGAUGAGCCCAUGGCCCCAUCAGCUAGUUGGUAGGGGUAAAGGCCCUACCAAGGCUACGACGGGUCGCUGGUCUGAGAGGACGACCAGCCCACACUGGCACUGAGAUACGGCCCAGACUCCUACGGGAGGGCGAG